rnacentral:rRNA from 1 species
AAUGAACGCUGGCGGCAGGCCUAACACAUGCAAGUCGAACGAGUGGCGGACGGGUGAGUAAUGUCUGGGAAACUGCCCGAUGGAGGGGGAUAACUACUGGAAACGGUAGCUAAUACCGCAUACCAUCGGAUGUGCCCAGAUGGGAUUAGCUAGUAGGUGGGGUAAUGGCUCACCUAGGCGACGAUCCCUAGCUGGUCUGAGAGGAUGACCAGCCACACUGGAACGGAGACACGGUCCAGACUACUAGGGGAGGCAGCAGUGGGGAAUAUUUCACAAUGGGCGCAAGCCUGAUGCAGCAAUGCCGCGUGUGUGAUGAAGGCCGUCGGGUUGUAAAGUACUUUCAGCGGGGAUGCGUUACUCUCAGAGGAAGCACCGGCUAACUCCGUGCCAGCAGCCGCGGUAAUAC